rnacentral:rRNA from 1 species
CCCUUAGAUGUUCUGGGCCGCACGCGCGCUACACUGACGAUGGCAACGAGUUUUUCCUUCGCCGAAAGGUGUGGGUAAUCUUUUGAAACAUCGUCGUGCUGGGGAUAGAUCAUUGCAAUUUUUGAUCUUGAACGAGGAAUUCCUAGUAAGCGCGAGUCAUCAGCUCGCGUUGAUUACGUCCCUGCCCUUUGUACACACCGCCCGUCGCUACUACCGAUUGAAUGGUUUAGUGAGGACUCCUGAUUGGCGCCGCCACCCCGGCAACGGAGCAGCGGACUGCCGAAAAGUUGUUCAAACUUGAUCAUUUAGAGGAAGUAAAAGUCGUAACA